rnacentral:rRNA from 1 species
GAUGAACGCUGGCGGCGUGCCUAAUACAUGCAAGUCGAGCGGAGCGGGGACGGGUGAGUAACACGUGGAUAACCUCCUAUAAGACUGGGAUAACUUAUGGAAACCGGAGCUAAACCGGUUACUUAUCGAUGGAUCCACGCUGCAUUAGCUAGUUGGUAAGGUAACGGCUUACCAAGGCAACGAUGCAUAGCCGACCUGAAAGAGUGAACAGCCACACUGGAACUAAGACACGGUCCAGACUCCUCCGGAGGGCAGCAGUAGGGAAUCUUCCGCAAUGGGCGAAAGCCUGACGGAGCAACGCAGCGUGAAUGAUGAAGGCCUUCGGAUCGUAAAACUCUUUUAUUAGGGAAGCGAUACCUAAUCAGAAAGCGGCGACUAAGUACGUGCCAGCAGCCGCGGUGAUAC